UUUAUUCUAUAUGUUUUAAUUAGGUGAUUAUUAUCCACGUGCACUUCGUAUAACAUUACCUGCUUUUGCAAACAGUACAUGUGAUAAAAUUGGUAUUAUCAAUCAUACCAUUAGAGAACAACUAUUUGAGAACUUUAUAGUGGAAAUAGCCAAUAUCAAUUCACAACAUAUUGGAUUAACAGUAGACCAUAGUCCAUCAACUAUCAGGAUACAAGAUGAUGAUUCUGAAGUAAGGUUUGCUAUUGGUCAAGCUACAUUCUCUGAAGGAGGAGGAAAUCAAUCAAUCACUGUCAUACUAGGAGGAGGACAAUUGAGUCAAAGUGAAGAUGUUGAAGUAUACAUUGAUGAUGGAACUACCAAAGGAACAUCACUUGGUUUUGUCACAUUUGGUACUGGUGCUGUACUACAGAACAGGACUGUUGUUUUUCCAGUGGUUGAUAAUAAAAUUGCACUGGAACCUGAUAAACAUUAUAUACUAAGAUUAAGGAACAUUGGU